rnacentral:rRNA from 1 species
UACGAAGGGUGCAAGCGUUACUCGGAAUUACUGGGCGUAAGGCGUGCGUAGGUGGUUUGUUAAGUCUGUUGUGAAAGCCCUGGGCUCAACCUGGGAAUUGCAUUGGAUACUGGCAGGCUAGAGUGCGGUAGAGGAUGGCGGAAUUCCUGGUGUAGCGGUGAAAUGCGCAGAUAUCAGGAGGAACACCGAUGGCGAAGGCAGGUCUCUGGGCAUUAACUGACGCUGAGGAGCGAAAGCAUGGGGAGCGAACAGG